AACGAACGCUGGCGGCAUGCCUAACACAUGCAAGUCGAACGAGACCUUCGGGUCUAGUGGCGCACGGGUGCGUAACGCGUGGGAAUCUGCCCUUCGGUUCGGAACAACAGUUAGAAAUGACUGCUAAUACCGGAUAAUGACGUAAGUCCAAAGAUUUAUCGCCGAAGGAUGGGCCCGCGUAAGAUUAGGUAGUUGGUGGGGUAAUGGCCUACCAAGCCGACGAUCUUUAGCUGGUCUGAGAGGAUGAUCAGCCACACUGGGACUGAGACACGGCCCAGACUCCUACGGGAGGCAGCAGUGGGGAAUAUUGGACAAUGGGCGAAAGCCUGAUCCAGCAAUGCCGCGUGAGUGAUGAAGGCCUUAGGGUUGUAAAGCUCUUUUACCAGGGAUGAUAAUGACAGUACCUGGAGAAUAAGCUCCGGCUAACUCCGUG
rnacentral:rRNA from 1 species